AGAAUUUUUCACAAUGGGCGAAAGCCUGAUGGAGCGACGCCGCGUGGGGGAUGAAUGGCUUCGGCCCGUAAACCCCUGUCAUUUGCGAGCAAAGCUGACGGCUGAACAGGCCGGCAGUCUGAUAGUAGCGAACGAGGAAGGGACGGCUAACUCUGUGCCGGCAGCCGCGGUAAUACAGAGGACCCGAGCGUUGUUCGGAUUUACUGGGCGUAAAGGGUGCGUAGGUGGCAGGGUAAGUUCGGUGUGAAAGCUUCGAGCUCAACUCGGAAAUGGCAUUGAAUACUAUCCUGCUUGAGGGUCGGAGGGGAGACUGGAAUUCUCGGUGUAGCAGUGAAAUGCGUAGAUAUCGAGAGGAACACCAGUGGCGAAGGCGGGUCUCUGGACGACACCUGACACUGAGGCACGAAAGCUAGGGGAGCAAAC
rnacentral:rRNA from 1 species